rnacentral:rRNA from 1 species
GACGAACGCUGGCGGCGCGCCUAACACAUGCAAGUCGAACGGAGUCAAGAGGAGCUUGCUUUUCUUGACUUAGUGGCGAACGGGUGAGUAACGCGUGAGUAACCUGCCCUGGAGUGGGGGACAACAGUUGGAAACGACUGCUAAUACCGCAUAAGCCCACGGAUCCGCAUGGAUCUGCGGGAAAAGGAUUUAUUCGCUUCAGGAUGGACUCGCGUCCAAUUAGCUAGUUGGUGAGGUAACGGCCCACCAAGGCGACGAUUGGUAGCCGGACUGAGAGGUUGAACGGCCACAUUGGGACUGAGACACGGCCCAGACUCCUACGGGAGGCAGCAGUGGGGGAUAUUGCACAAUGGGGGAAACCCUGAUGCAGCGACGCCGCGUGGAGGAAGAAGGUUUUCGGAUUGUAAACUCCUGUCGUUAGGGACGAUAAUGACGGUACCUAACAAGAAGGCACCGGCUAACUACGUG